rnacentral:siRNA from 1 species
UACAUGAUGGUAAGAUGCUUGU